rnacentral:rRNA from 1 species
AUGAAGUUUUCGGAUGGAUUUAAACAGCUUAGUGGCGGACGGGUGAGUAACGCGUGGGUAACCUGCCUCACACUGGGGGAUAACAGUUAGAAAUAGCUGCUAAUACCGCAUAAGCGCACGGUUCCGCAUGGAACAGUGUGAAAAACUCCGGUGGUGUGAGAUGGACCCGCGUCUGAUUAGCCAGUUGGCAGGGUAACGGCCUACCAAAGCGACGAUCAGUAGCCGGACUGAGAGGUUGACCGGCCACAUUGGGACUGAGACACGGCCCAGACUCC